GCGCUGCGCACUUCCACCCUCGUUGCCCUCCCUGGUCCAGCAACGUCACCUGCUCCCUUCAACUCCCGUCUCGGUCUUCAUGGCCCUCAGAUCUAGCAGCCCUCGGCCACGACGCUGCCGAAUUUGGUCGGCUUGGCCUCGUCGCCCCAACCAAUAGGUGCUCGACGCCGCUCCUCGGGAUUCUGGAACACAACGGUCUUCUUCGUCAGCUCUAUAUCCCUCCACUUCCUACGCCAUGUAUCGGCCAUCUGCCCUUUCUUGAAGCUCCUCCUCAUCCAAGUGGCCACCUGAUGUUGCCGAGUGGACCACGCUCACUCGCGCCUUC
rnacentral:lncRNA from 1 species